GAAAGGGUCAGGAAUGGUGAUUGGUGGGAGUGGGAAUUUGCCUGCAUCUAUUUUUGGGAAGGAGAUGAUGAGGGAUAAAGAAGGUGAUUACGAAGGGAUGAAGAUGGAGUUUACUAGGAAUUAUAGGCAUGGUGAAUUAGGGGAGAAGUUGAAAAUGUUGAGGCCUGUAAAGAAGGAGGAGAAAGGUUGGUUUUCGUUACAUGAGUUGAACGAAAGAUUGAUGAAGGUGAGGGAAGCUGAUGAGAUCGAGAGCAAGACGAUGGUAGCUGGUGGCGUGUAUAAGGAUUUGAAAGAGUCUCUUUAUAUAAUCAGUCAGAAUGGUGAUUUGAAGUCCAAGUUUAAGAAGACAAUGAUUCAGAGACUUGAUGUCUUGGGGCAGCUGGGUGGUACUCCAAGCUUUAUGUUGCAUCCACCAAAAGAACACUUGGUUGAAAAGUUCUUUCACCCAGAUAACAUGUCAUCUGGGGAAAAAAUGAAACUGGAGCUACAAAAAGUUAGAGAUGAAUUUAAAAUGUCAGAGUCUGAUUGUGGAUCUGCUCGUGUUCAAGUGGCUCAGC
rnacentral:misc_RNA from 1 species